UUAAGCGACUAAGCGUACACGGUGGAUGCCUAGGCAAUCAGAGGCGAUGAAGGACGUGCUAAUCUGCGAAAAGCGUCGGUAAGGUGAUAUGAACCGUUAUAACCGACGAUGUCCGAAUGGGGAAACCCAGUGCAAUUCGUUGCACUAUCGUUUGAUGAAUCCAUAGUCAAACGAGGCGAACCGGGGGAACUGAAACAUCUCAGUACCCCGAGGAAAAGAAAUCAACCGAGAUUCCCCUAGUAGCGGCGAGCGAACGGGGAGCAGCCCAGAGUCUUAAUCAGCAUCAGCAUCAGGAGAACGGUCUGGAAAGGCCGGCAAUAAAGGGUGAUAGCCCCGUAUCCGAAGGUGUUGGUGUUGUGAACUCGACGAGUAGGGCGGGACACGUGUUAUCCUGUCUGAAUAUGGGGGGACCAUCCUCCAAGGCUAAAUACUCCUGAUUGACCGAUAGUGAACCAGUACCGUGAGGGAAAGGCGAAAAGAACCCCGGCGAGGGGAGUGAAAUAGAACCUGAAACCGUGUACGUACAAGCAGUGGGAGCCUUGAUUUAUCAGGGUGACUGCGUACCUUUUGUAUAAUGGGUCAGCGACUUAUAUUCUGUAGCAAGGUUAACCGAAUAGGGGAGCCGUAGGGAAACCGAGUCUUAACUGGGCGAAUGAGUUGCAGGGUAUAGACCCGAAACCCGGUGAUCUAGCCAUGGGCAGGUUGAAGGUUGGGUAACACUAACUGGAGGACCGAACCGACUAAUGUUGAAAAAUUAGCGGAUGACUUGUGGCUGGGGGUGAAAGGCCAAUCAAACCGGGAGAUAGCUGGUUCUCCCCGAAAGCUAUUUAGGUAGCGCCUCGUGAACUCAUCUUCGGGGGUAGAGCACUGUUUCGGCUAGGGGGUCAUCCCGACUUACCAACCCGAUGCAAACUACGAAUACCGAAGAAUGUUAUCACGGGAGACACACGGCGGGUGCUAACGUUCGUCGUGAAGAGGGAAACAACCCAGACCGCCAGCUAAGGUCCCAAAGUCAUGGUUAAGUGGGAAACGAAGUGGGAAGGCUCAGACAGCCAGGAUGUUGGCUUAGAAGCAGCCAUCAUUUAAAGAAAGCGUAAUAGCUCACUGGUCGAGUCGGCCUGCGCGGAAGAUGUAACGGGGCUAAACCAUGCACCGAAGCUGCGGCAGCGACAUGUAAAUGUUGUUGGGUAGGGGAGCGUUCUGUAAGCCUGUGAAGGUGUGCUGCGAGGCAUGCUGGAGGUAUCAGAAGUGCGAAUGCUGACAUAAGUAACGAUAAUGCGGGUGAAAAACCCGCACGCCGGAAGACCAAGGGUUCCUGUCCAACGUUAAUCGGGGCAGGGUGAGUCGACCCCUAAGGCGAGGCAGAAAUGCGUAGUCGAUGGGAAACAGGUUAAUAUUCCUGUACUGGUGAUAAUUGCGAUGGGGGGACGGAGAAGGCUAGGCUGGCCGGGCGACGGUUGUCCCGGUUUAAGGAUGUAGGUGGGUGAAUUAGGCAAAUCCGGUUCGCUAUACACUGAGGUCUGAUGACGAGUCACUACGGUGGCGAAGUAGCUCAUGCCCCGCUUCCAGGAAAAGCCUCUAAGCUCUAGAUUAUCAUUAAUCGUACCCCAAACCGACACAGGUGGUCAGGUAGAGAAUACUCAGGCGCUUGAGAGAACUCGGGUGAAGGAACUAGGCAAAAUGGUGCCGUAACUUCGGGAGAAGGCACGCUGGCAUUAGGUGAAGUGGUUUACCCAUGGAGCUGAAGCCAGUCGCAGAUACCAGCUGGCUGCAACUGUUUAUUAAAAACACAGCACUGUGCAAACACGAAAGUGGACGUAUACGGUGUGACGCCUGCCCGGUGCUGGAAGGUUAAUUGAUGGGGUUAUCCGUAAGGAGAAGCUCUUGAUCGAAGCCCCAGUAAACGGCGGCCGUAACUAUAACGGUCCUAAGGUAGCGAAAUUCCUUGUCGGGUAAGUUCCGACCUGCACGAAUGGCGUAAUGAUGGCCAGGCUGUCUCCACCCGAGACUCAGUGAAAUUGAACUCGCUGUGAAGAUGCAGUGUACCCGCGGCAAGACGGAAAGACCCCGUGAACCUUUACUAUAGCUUGACACUGAACAUUGAGCCUUGAUGUGUAGGAUAGGUGGGAGGCUUUGAAGUGUGGACGCCAGUCUGCAUGGAGCCAACCUUGAAAUACCACCCUUUAAUGUUUGAUGUUCUAACGUCGCCCCAUAAUCUGGGGUGCGGACAGUGUCUGGUGGGUAGUUUGACUGGGGCGGUCUCCUCCCAAAGCGUAACGGAGGAGCACGAAGGUUGGCUAAGCAUGGUCGGACAUCAUGCGGUUAGUGCAAAGGCAUAAGCCAGCUUGACUGCGAGAGUGACGGCUCGAGCAGGUACGAAAGUAGGUCUUAGUGAUCCGGUGGUUCUGAAUGGAAGGGCCAUCGCUCAACGGAUAAAAGGUACUCCGGGGAUAACAGGCUGAUACCGCCCAAGAGUUCAUAUCGACGGCGGUGUUUGGCACCUCGAUGUCGGCUCAUCACAUCCUGGGGCUGAAGUAGGUCCCAAGGGUAUGGCUGUUCGCCAUUUAAAGUGGUACGCGAGCUGGGUUUAGAACGUCGUGAGACAGUUCGGUCCCUAUCUGCCGUGGGCGUUGGAAGAUUGAAAGGGGCUGCUCCUAGUACGAGAGGACCGGAGUGGACGCACCGCUGGUGUUCGGGUUGUCAUGCCAAUGGCACUGCCCGGUAGCUAAGUGCGGAAGAGAUAACCGCUGAAAGCAUCUAAGCGGGAAACUUGCCUUGAGAUGAGUCUUCCCUGACUCUUUAAGGGUCCUAAAGGAACGUUUAAGACGAAGACGUUGAUAGGCUGGGUGUGUAAGCGUAGCGAUACGUUGAGCUAACCAGUACUAAUGAACCGUGAGGCUUAACC
rnacentral:rRNA from 1 species